AUUGAACGCUGGCGGCAGGCCUAACACAUGCGAGUCGAGCGGAUGAAGGGAGCUUGCUCCUGGAUUCAGCGGCGGACGGGUGAGUAAUGCCUAGGAAUCUGCCUGGUAGUGGGGGAUAACGUCCGGAAACGGGCGCUAAUACCGCAUACGUCCUGAGGAAGAAAGUGGGGGAUCUUCGGACCUCACGCUAUCAGAUGAGCCUAGGUCGGAUUAGCUAGUUGGUGGGGUAAAGGCCUACCAAGGCGACGAUCCGUAACUGGUCUGAGAGGAUGAUCAGUCACACUGGAACUGAGACACGGUCCAGACUCCUACGGGAGGCAGCAGUGGGGAAUAUUGGACAAUGGGCGAAAGCCUGAUCCAGCCAUGCCGCGUGUGUGAAGAAGGUCUUCGGAUUGUAAAGCACUUUAAGUUGGGAGGAAGGGCAGUAAGUUAAUACCUUGCUGUUUUGACGUUACCAACAGAAUAAGCACCGGCUAACUUCGUG
rnacentral:rRNA from 1 species